AACAUCGGUUUCUUAUGUCGAUUGGUUCAUUCUUACAAAAACACAAGAUAAACUCCUAUUUCAUCUCUCUAUUCAACCUUCCAAUUGAUUUCCAUUAACAGUUAUAUUUAUGCGUCUCUUUUUCUCUUUAUCCAAUAUCCAAUGAGAAGAAGUUUCAACGGUCUGCAGCAUAAUUAAACUCUCAUGUUGUUUCUUCUUCAUCGACCAAGAUUUUCACAUUGGCAUCGAGCCACCGAUUAAGAAUUUUCAGAUAAUUAACCAUUUUUCUACCCAGACCCUUUAUUUCACACUUGGAACAAGCUUUAUUACGGGAGUAUUUCAUUGUGUUGAUUUGAUGAAAUCUAGACAGGAAAGGAAGUGGUUAGCGGGCUGAGAGGACUUCCGCCGGUCGGAAUGCACGGAAUGGCCGAAGUGUUUUUUCGGUAAAGUUGCCGGCGACGAUUUCAAUUCUUAUUCUUUUGUAGAAAUCAUCUGUUAAGAUGAGGCCUUAUUUGGUCCGUGUAUUGGUCUAAAUUUGGACGGCUUCAUAUGCAAACAAACAUGGUCGAGGGCAGAGUUGACCACAAUACAAUGGGGAGGAGUCAUCUCAAGAAGAAUUACUGUCGAGGUCAAGUAAAUGGAGCAAGGAGGCUGGGUAGGAUAGUUUAACAAUAGACACAAGAAAUAUUUCAUUGAAUAGUACUUAUGUUGUACUUUUUAGGAUUUCUUAGAGAUACGUCUUAUAAAUAGGAAGAGAUAAAGAACAAAAGGGGAUCUUCACUUCUUGAUAAGAGUACUUUGUAAAGAGUUGACUAAAAAGAAUAUACAAAUACUGUCUUGUUCACUGACUACUUUGGUCAACAUACGUUAUUCA